rnacentral:misc_RNA from 1 species
UUUCCGUAGGUGAACCUGCGGAAGGAUCAUUACAAAUCAGGUAGAGAGUGAGAGUGUGAGGGGGUAUGCGAGGCUUGACUUGCGAUCCUUGGCACUUUUUACUCUCUCAUAUAUUGGCACGGGGGCGGCUGUCAUUUGAUGGCUGCUCCUGAUGUUUACGCUUGCAAAUGUUUGACCGGUUCAGAGUGACAAUCAAAUUAAUUUAUACAACUUUUAACAAUGGAUCUCCUGGCUCUUGCAUCGAUGAAGAACGCAAC